rnacentral:rRNA from 1 species
UACGGAGGUGCAAGCGUUAUCCGGAUUCACUGGGUUUAAAGGGUGGUGUAGGCGGAUUUUUAAGUCAGUGGUGAAAUCUCCGGGCUCAACCCGGAAACUGCCAUUGAUACUAUUAGUCUUGAAUUCUGUUGAGGUGGGCGGAAUACAUCAUGUAGCGGUGAAAUGCUUAGAUAUGAAUGUAGAAACACCGAUUGCGAAGGCAGCUCGACUAAGCAGACAUUGACGCUGAGGCACGAAA